CUCCAUUUAGAAAAAAACAGCAGCCAUAGAUUUGGUUGUGACUUGGGUGUUGGAUCUUGUCUAAAAUGAUAGAAGUGUAUGAGUUUACUUGUCUUCAGAGUACAUGAAUCUGCAGGGAAUAAAGAUGAAAUGUUGUUUCCUUAGGUCACAAAUUUUAGAGCUCUAUUGGUUUUUGACUUCUUUUCUUUCUGUUUCCAGGACCAAAGGGUUUAAAAGGACUGCCUGGUCGUCCUGGACCAAAUGGCUUUGAUGGGCAAAAAGGCCAGCGAGGCAGACCAGGAGCUGGAAUCCCUGGGCCAGAAGGCUUCCGAGGCAAAGCUGGUGAUCCUGGUGAGGAAGGUGAAAGAGGAUCCACCAUUAAUGGUAAAAAUGGUGCUCCAGGUCCACCUGGCCCAGAUGGUCAGAAAGGUGUUCCAGGUGAUACUACAUAUGGUCCUCCAGGAAUCCCAGGCAAUAGGGGACUGCCAGGACCACCUGGUGCACAAGGAGCAAGGGGUGAUCCAGGCAUUCCUGGGCUUCAAGGUACGAAAGAUUUUAUGAAGCAUUUCUACAUAGUCAAAGGAGAAAGUCUGAGUGAGGUUACUGGUGAUAACAUUUAAACCUACUCUUGUCUGCAUCCUGUCUGCAUAAUGGUGACUAUGUAGGGUAUUCAAUAUUUUUACAUUCACGUUGUCACAGUUCAGGUUGAUCAGCCACUGA
rnacentral:lncRNA from 1 species